rnacentral:lncRNA from 1 species
UAAUAAUGGCAAUAAUCAACUAAGAUCAACAUAUUAACUUGUAACAAUUUACUUCAGUUUCAAGAUAAAGUAAACAAGUGUAAUGCAGCUAAUUCUGAUUCUAAUUCUUAUAGAUAAAGUAAAUAAUUUAUUUUAAUUCUCAUUUCACAUUCGCAUUUUACCACAUUAUGAUUAUCGAUCGGUAAAUGUACCAUUAAAAUUUGGUAGGCAAUGACAUAAAAUCGACAAAAGGACAAAAAGUAAGGACCAUAAGAAAGAAAUCAUUGACUAAAGUAGGUUAUAAUAUAAAAACUAAGCGUUGGGGGUCAACAUUAAAUGUGCAUAUAAGGGAAAAAGAGCGAAACCCUCUUUUGUUUAGUUACUAAACUAAUUAAAACUUCCAUGAUAUUUUAAAACAAAUCCAAAUUCUCUGAAUUGUAAUCAUUUUUGCUAAUCUUGUCAUUUCACUCUCGUUGGUUGUUUGAUUUGGGAAUAUGAAUACUUUUAAUU